rnacentral:rRNA from 1 species
CCUACGGGCGGCAGCAGUGGGGAAUAUUGCGCAAUGGGCGAAAGCCUGACGCAGCGACGCCGCGUGAGGGAUGAAGGUCUUCGGAUCGUAAACCUCUGUCAGCAGGGAAGAACGGUCACUGUGCUAAUCAGCAGUGAAUUGACGGUACCCAAAGAGGAAGCUCCGGCUAACUACGUGCCAGCAGCCGCGGUAAUACGUAGGGAGCAAGCGUUGUCCGGAAUUACUGGGUGUAAAGGGAGCGUAGGCGGGAUGGCAAGUAGAAUGUUAAAUCCAUCGGCUCAACCGGUGGCUGCGUUCUAAACUGCCGUUCUUGAGUGAAGUAGAGGCAGGCGGAAUUCCUAGUGUAGCGGUGAAAUGCGUAGAUAUUAGGAGGAACACCAGUGGCGAAGGCGGCCUGCUGGGCUUUAACUGACGCUGAGGCUCGAAAGCGUGGGGAGCAAACAGGAUUAGAUACCCCAGUAGUC